CUCGCUCGCAAACUACAGAAGACAUUUCAAUAUUGUGUGUUUUAUUUAUGAAUUUUAAAUUUCUAUAUGUGCCAUCGGUAUGUUACAGCCAUCGUGUUUUAGACAAAAGGACACACAGUCGACGCUGCAAACAGACACAAACAAUGACAUCAUAUUUACAUUGUGACGCUGACCAUGCCAAGUCAAACAGACUGUACUCACUUUUAGCUUUUUUAGUAGAAGCCCUAUGGAUUUUUCGGAGGACUUAGUAGGCCAUAUGUUGCGAGGGGGACGGUGUUGUGCGCGCGCAUCAGCCGUUUCCAUGGCAACAGGGGUGAGCUCCCGAGCUCAUGGGAGACCAUUGCUAGAUUUUGACGUGUUUGUGACGUCGCCGGUGGAUUUUUACCUCCUGUCUCUGGGAGGAUACACUUGAUCGGCAAAUCAAGGAAUUAGUCAAACUGGCGGCGGAGGCAGAUCACGCCGAUGAGUUUAUACCCCUGUUUGAGCCGGAUGACAGCGGCAUCGACAGUGACGACACGGAGCGAGUCGGUUCGAGCGCUAGACGGAACAGCAAUAGGAUAGUGGAAGAGGAGGAGACUAGCAGUGACGAGGAUCCUGUGAUUAGAUCAUGGUGGCCGGCAAAAAGGAAAAAUGAUGAUUUAUUGAAUGACCCUGCCAAUUAUGUAUGCCCAGCAAGAGUAUGGUGGCAAGUUGCAAAUAAGAAAAAUGAUGAACGAAAAAAUAUGAAGGUGCAAGUAGAUCCAGUGAAUAAAGCAAGGUGGGUCGCGGGGAGAGAUGACAGCGAAGGUUGUUGCAUGGACACUUUUGACCGGGCCUCCCCACCUCUCUAUGAAGUAGAACUAACUGCUUCUGACGAAGAUGACGACGCGUCUGUAUUAGAAUUAGUUAUACCGAUGCAGUCAAGAUAUCAAAGAGUACCAACCACCUCCCCAAAGAAGACGAAGCCUAGGGCACCAAGAUUUUUCUGCAACUUAUUCUGUUGUAUCCGUAAGUAAUUUUUCAAAUAUCUAUGUCGAUUUUUGAGUAGGUUCUAGGUAUUAAGUUUUAUUAAUAAUAUCUUGAACUUAAUAUGUGUCUUGACUGAAAUUUAAUUAUUAUGAUUGUUGUUAUUGUAAGUGUACAGUGUAUUGUUUUAUUAAGAUAUUUUCUAUUAGCUACUAAAAAUAUCGAGUGUAAUUGUUUGUCAAUAAAUGUCAUACAAAAAUAAUCUAAUAAAUAAGUUUAUAGUAUAUGGUAAUAUAAAGUAAGUAAUACGUCUAGCAUUCAAUCAUACAAUGGAAUACAUUUUACUUACAUAUUUUAUUAUAUAGACAAGAUACGAAAUGAUUGAGUUUUUGAAUUCAAUUCAGAAAUGUUUUAAAAAAGAUCAAAAAGAUUCUGGCCUAUGUCUAUAGUGUGAAGUAAAGUUAUAUGUAUUGAGGCAUAAUUUUAUUUAUGUAACAGGAAUUUGUAGAAAGGCGCUGGGGGGGGGGGGUUUGCUCGCAUAAAACAUGUACAUAUGUCUUCUUAAAUAUGUAACGCUGAAGCUUCGCUCGCAAUUUGGGUGGGCACGAUCCAUUUUAGUGUGACGUUAGACAAUUGUAUGUUACUUAUAAAAUCAGACUACUUGACUCGAAACAAGCUUUUGUUUAAUAUUUUGUUAAUUUAUAUCAAUCAUAAUUACAAAAUUGUAAUUUAUUUAUAUUUAUAAGUAAGAGGAGUGUAAGGAGAGUGAGGAUUGUAAAAAGGAAUGAGAUGAAAUGAUAAAAUAACUAAGUAUUUUGACUUAAGUACUUCUUUAACUUUUAUUUAGUAAGUAUGUAGGAUAAUUCAAUAUCGAUAAAGAAUUGUUGUAAAGGCCUAAUGAAAUAGGUCUGCCAUCAUGUUUUUUAUGUUAUAUAUUUUUUUCUAUUAUUAAAAUUCAAUUUUAUAGAGAAAGAUAGAUGUCAUUUUCUAAAACAAUGCAAAAUUUAAAUAUAAUUAUGCAUAAUUUAUGUGUUGUAAUGUCUUAAGACGUCAAUUUCAUGAUGACAGGUAAGUAAGAAUAAGUAUCGAUGUGGUAUCAAACUAGUGAUAAUAUUAAGUUAAACAUAUGGAAGUGAGAUUUAAUGAUUCGUCAAUUAAAAGGAUACGAACGACUAUUUGAGAUUAUUUUUUCAUAUACUGUAUUAAUAAUAUAUUAUUGUAUAAUAUUUUAUCAGAAAGGGACUUUCGACAAAAGUCGUCUAUUUAGCUACCUUCCUUCAUAUGUGUUUCUGCUAAGCAGACUUGCAUGACUGUGUCUUAAUUUUAAGGGCUCACCUAUCACAUAUAUUAAUGUGAAACAUAUUCUAAGGUGGCAGUGACAUUAUAUGAUUGUAAUUCAAGUAUUAUUUAUUGUAAUCCGCUAUUUUAGUAGAAAUUGUACUGUAUUUAUUUAUAAUAACUUGUAUUUAUAAAAUUUAAAGUGUUUUUGAUUUUCAUUGCAUUUUGAUUUACAUUUGUAUUACAUUGCAUACUAUGUUCUUUAUAUGAGGCCUCAGGGUAUGAAUAUUUUUUAUAUUUUUAUUAUGGCAGUGACUGAUUAUAAAAUGAACGGUUUAGUCCUGUUUUUAGAAAUAGCUAAGUGAAUAUUUGUACAUUUGAUUUUGGCAACUUCUUUAGUAAGAUAACUACACUGUACUGUACUUUAAUCCAAUUAACUAUUAUUAUGUAAGAUUUUGGGCCGAAAUAUACUUUAAAAAUUUGCCAAAUUAUGUAUGCUAGCUCAUUUACUUAGGAUUAAAUUUAAACAAUUACUUACAUACAAUUUUUAAUGUUUUAACGUAUCUCAUGUCUAAUACCUAAUAUUAAUUACUAUGUGAUAUUGCAUAGUUCGUGUGAUGAAAUGCAAGUUUAUUAAUUAUUAUAAUUUAUUUUCAUCGUUUAUUAAUAAUAAUGUGUGUUAAGAAUUAUUUUUUUAGUUUUUUAUGGUAUUAAAUUAUUUAACAUUAAAUUUAUAUACAUAAGCCUGAAUUGUAAAUGAUGUAAAUGAAAUUAUUUGACUUUUGUAAUAUUUAUUUACAGAUGGAUCAAUAAUUGUUUGAAUAGUUAAGUUAACACUUAACUUAUUACUUAACCAAUGUAUACUUAAUAUUCACAUAUAUUCAUAAAUAAUAAUAUAAUCUACAUAUACUUUGAAAUUAUUGAGUGUUUGUAAUAUAUUUUAAGAAAGGAGUAUUGAGUUUUUUUUUUUUAAUAAAGCAGGAACAUAACAUCCGGAUACCAUAGGCGAGACAGUAUACUCUGUUAUGUGUAUGGUACUGUUCAUGUCUAUAGGCGACGGUUAUCACUUUUCAUCAAGUGUGUUAUUAGCUUGUUUGCCAUUAUAAGUUGUAUAACAAAACAUAUAAAAUAUACAUAGAACUUAAUUAGUUAGAAAAAUACUGUACUGGAAGCCGUGGGAGCCUUUUGUUGCCAAGCCACCUAAGGGUCAAUGAAAUUGGCCUCCAGCGAAAUCAUAAAUAUUUUUUUCACAUAUAUUAUGGAAUUGUUAAUUUAUCAGUUGUUUAGAAAUAAAUUUUAUCUUAUAUUUUAUUUUAUAUUUUACUUGAAUCCUCAGGAAUGGCAACGCAUGGGAAACAGUAUAUUCUCUUAUGUCCAUAGUACUGCUCAUGUCUAUAGGCGACAAUUACCAC